rnacentral:misc_RNA from 1 species
AUGACAGGCUCUUCGAAUAAAUUUUCUACUUACUCUCCAUAUUCAGAAAAAGAAGAAGUCUGCAUAGCGGACGGAUCUAUAGCCACUAUUUCUCGAACAAGUUCUAUUGCUUGCAAUCCCACUAUAAAUCUAACUUUGGUUCUUAAUGUUCCUAGCUUCCUAUUUAUCUUUUGUCUUUUGUAUCUCUUAGAUGAUAGUUGUG